AUCCUUCAGGUUCUUACAGAAGUGAUGAUUGGUCUGAUCACGUGACUGCGUGAAAUGUGCUACCUUUUGUUACGACUGCGCACAUUGACCAUCUGAUC